CUCUAACUCCUGUCUUCCCUGCCUUCCUUCAAAACUCAGGGCAGUAGGUCUCUGGAUGCUUGUGGGGAUUAACAAAAUGUGGUAGCAAGAAGAAGGUCUUGUGAUCAAGGUCAUGGGGACUUCAAGGUAUGGAGGGGAUGUGACAGGCUUUCCAGCAACCAGACACAAGAAAUGAAAUUCUGAAGCGCUUAGCUCUUGAUGACACUGAUUCAAUACAAGAUUUGGUUACCCUACAGGGCUUUGGAACAUUUGUCAUAUGGGCAGCCCAUGGGAUGUGACAGGAAAGAAGGUAAAAGGAGACCCAGAAAUAGGAGCCAAGUACUGAAUUCCCCACCUCAGCCCUAUCCUACUUAUGCUUCUUAAUAACAUCAUGUGAGAAGAUUCAUGCCUCGGAUGCCUACCUCAGGAAGUCCCAUUCUCUUAGAUACAGAAACAUCUGUGCAUUUUCCUACAUUUACUCUAAUAUGUCUCCGGUCACACGUCCCCUGGCAUCUUCUCCACUCCCACACCCAGUGUAGGCAUUGUUUGGACAGUUUCUGUUUCCCUGACAAAUAGAGAGAUCUAAAUGAAAGUCUUCAACUCUUUCAUUGAGGACCUUUCUGUAUGGAUAUCAUGAUUUACAUAAAUAUACCCUAUAACAGAAUCUUUCUCUGAUGCUUUACUGUGGCUUAGAGAUUAUCUUAGGUUCUUGAAGGCUAUAGUAGUGGGGUACAAGGAGAAAUGCCUUCAGGUAUGAGCCAUACAUCUAUCUUUUAAGGACCAGCCUAGCCAAAUGUGAGGUGGCUCAA